AGCAGUAGCCGCGGUAAUACGUAGGUGGCAAGCGUUGUCCGGAAUUAUUGGGCGUAAAGGGCUCGCAGGCGGUUUCUUAAGUCUGAUGUGAAAGCCCCCGGCUCGACCGGGGAGGGUCAUUGGAAACUGGGAAACUUGAGUGCAGAAGAGGAGAGUGGAAUUCCACGUGUAGCGGUGAAAUGCGUAGAGAUGUGGAGGAACACCAGUGGCGAAGGCGACUCUCUGGUCUGUAACUGACGCUGAGGAGCGAAAGCGUGGGGAGCGAACAGGAUUAGAUACCCGUGUAGUCCCUGUCUCUUAUAC
rnacentral:rRNA from 1 species